UUAUUUUCUUUGUUUUAAUUAAUAAUAAAUAGUAAAUGAACUUGAUAAAAUCUAAAUAUAUGAUCAUAAAUACCGGAAGUCAUAGUUUUAGUUGGUUGUGGUAACAUUCAAGAAUAAUGUGUAGAACUCUAUAAAUAAUAUCUUUAUUGUUUGAACUCAUAUUUAGAGGUACUUAUUUGAUAUUUAUUAUGACUUUAAUGAUUCAAAUGAUACCCGUUUAAGAUCGGUGAACGAAGUGAUACUUUCAUUUCAGUGAUCACUUUGAUAUUUAACCUUAUUAACAAUCAAUGAGUCCUCCGUGCGUGCCCAACCAGAUAUACAAAAUUGACCUGGACGGAGGAAGUAUUUUAAGGCCUAUUUAAUAAAAUCGAGGUGAGUAAAAGUAAAAACAGAUCGCGACUCUGGUUUGGAUCAGGCCUAGGUAGGCGCUAAGAGGAUCCGGUCCAUUAUUCAUGAGGUACUCAUCUCCAGGAAGGGUGAUUUUUAAAAAAAACAUGUACGCAUAUCUUAAAUGCGUAUCUAGUUAGUGUGCAUAAUCAACACGCGNACGCAUAUCUUAAAUGCGUAUCUAGUUAGUGUGCAUAAUCAACACGCGGCGACUCUGGUUUGGAUCAGGCCUAGGUAGGCGCUAAGAGGAUCCGGUCCAUUAUUCAUGAGGUACUCAUCUCCAGGAAGGGUGAUUUUAAAAAAAAACAUGUACGCAUAUCUUAAAUGCGUAUCUAGUUAGUGUGCAUAAUCAACACGCAUUUCUAGAAUGCGUAGUCACAAUCUUGUUGAUAUAUACGCAAAUACGAAAUGCGUGUUCUUCGUUAAAAAUAUAAAACUUGACCACGCAUGUCUAGCAUGCGCAUUUGAUUGGUUAUUAUGGGCAGCUUCUUCCGCCUAUAGACAUUUUGAACAUUAUUCUUCAAAAUAUGGAUAUUUUGGUACCUCACCCGUCAUAUUGAAGUUACUAAAACACUUUAUUUCUUGAUCUAUUUAUAACAAAUAAUUAGAAUUUUGGAGUCCUUUGAAAACCAGGCCGUUUCGUACUUACAUGAAAUGUGUUGAUGACAUUCACACAUCAUGCGUUGGCACAAAUUUGAAAUGUGAAAGUCGCGGAUGAAUGUGGUAACAGGAACAAGUCGGGAAUUUUUCAUAUUUUGAGAUAUUAGAUUUUUGAAAGGGUGACUGUGACACAUGUAAAUCUUAUAUAAACAUCACAAUCUUAUAAAUCAAAACGGCAUUUUAUUGGCCUGAUUAUGGAUCAUAGUUUUAUAUGUACUAUGUAAAUUAAAGCUGUAAUUCGAGCCGAGUAUGUCAAGUUUCGAGCCGAGCCGAAUUCGAGCCAAGUUUAGAGUUGAACCGAGCCGGCUCGAUUAGUUAAUCGAGCCUAAACUCUUGCCCGAACACUCGACUUGUAAAAUUUCACGAGUCGAGUCCAACCGGCUCCUUUAGCUAAACGAGCCGGUUGUAACGGGUCGAACGACC
rnacentral:lncRNA from 1 species